UUUCCCUACGGGACGCAGCAGUGGGGAAUAUUGGGCAAUGGGCGCAAGCCUGACCCAGCAACGCCGCGUGAAGGAAGAAGGCUUUCGGGUUGUAAACUUCUUUUCUCAGGGACGAAGAAAGUGACGGUACCUGAGGAAUAAGCCACGGCUAACUACGUGCCAGCAGCCGCGGUAAUACGUAGGUGGCAAGCGUUAUCCGGAUUUAUUGUGUGUAAAGGGCGUGUAGGCGGGUGCGCUAGUUAGAU
rnacentral:rRNA from 1 species